rnacentral:lncRNA from 1 species
AUGAAUUUAAGUCAAAUCCUGAUGCAAAGCUAAACCUGCCUGUAAAAUCUAUGGAGCAGCCAAAGGCAUCUCAUCAAGCGGUUGAGCCUGACCAGUGGAUCUGUGAAGCCCAUGUUACAAGACUCUGCAAAGCCAUGAAGAUUAUUUGAGUCAUUCUGGAUUUGCUGUGGGACAAAAAACACAGGAUGUGGCCAGAUCCAGCAAACAUACUUUUCAAUCAGAUUUACAUAAAAUCCAC